rnacentral:rRNA from 1 species
UCGGGAAUUUUGGGCAAUGGGGGAAACCCUGACCCAGCAACGCCGCGUGAAGGAUGAAGUAUUUCGGUAUGUAAACUUCGAAAGAAUAGGAAGAAUAAAUGACGGUACUAUUUAUAAGGUCCGGCUAACUACGUUUUUGCCAGCAGCCGCGGUAAUACGUAGGGACCAAGCGUUGUUCGGAUUUACUGGGCGUAAAGCGUGCGCAGGCGGUUUUGUAAGACAGACGUGAAAGCCCCGGGCUUAACCUGGGAACGGCGUUUGUGACUGCAAGACUAGAGUAUGGCAGAGGGGGGUAGAAUUCCACGUGUAGCAGUGAAAUGCGUAGAGAUGUGGAGGAAUACCGAUGGCGAAGGCAGCCCCCUGGGUCAAUACUGACGCUCAUGCACGAAAGCGUGGGGAGCAAACAGGAUUAGAUACCCACGUAGUCCCUGAGCGGGCUGGCAAGGCG